UCCUACUAACAAAACACUCAGCCCUAAUUCUUUCCCUCUUUUUCCCAAAGUCCCAAACAUCACCCCUCUCUCUCUCUCUCUCUCUCUCUCUCGCCCAAACAUCACCCUCUUUCUCAACUCCGAAACCUCACUGUUCCCGCCGUUCUGAACAUUUCGAUAACCGAAUUUUCUUCUCGCCGGCAGCUUACAGCUCCUCGAACUGGAACCUACCAAGGUAAUUGGGCAAUGGCAUGUAGGCCUAUUUCUCCUACCGAGUAAUCACCAAGGUUUGUAAAACAAAAGCAUCUUAUUGAUGUCACUGAAGUAUUCAGGGUUCUUAAUACUGAGAAGAAGUGCCGGCUUGUUAAGCUUGCUGUCUACUUUUGUCUCCUCACUAUAAUCAUUAUCAGUUUGGGUUGCUGCAUUGCAGACCAAUUCAUUGUUCUCUGACAAUCCAUAUCUUAGUCGUGUUCAUCUUCUUCAAGAAACAGAGCUUCGUUUGGACUCUACUGCUCUAGGUAGCAAGACAGAAGCUAAGGCGGCUUCUCCUGCCCGCACUAGUUCCAACACUACUGCUCCUGGUAAUCUGGGCCGGGACAUGUAUGUUUUGGUGAGCUACUUGAUGGGAAUUCUAGAAGUUUACUUACCUAGCAUUGAGUGUGUGGUUUUGUCAAGUGAAUUUAACACUUUUCAAAACCUGAAGAAUUUUUUACUUGAUGCCCCUGCUUUUGAUAAUGUUGAUAGUUUGGCCAUUUCUUCCACUUCUAAUGAAGGUGCUGUAGUGUUGGCAUGAGUUGCUUUGGCUGAUCUUUGUUUUUAAACAACCUUUGGCUGGUACUAGCUUUGGUGUGCAAUUCAACCUUUGGUUGAUCUUUGCAAUAUUUUUCAAUUUAUGAUAUUUGCUGCA